rnacentral:rRNA from 1 species
GACGAACGCUGGCGGCGUGCUUAACACAUGCAAGUCGAACGGAAAGGCCCUGCUUUUGUGGGGUGCUCGAGUGGCGAACGGGUGAGUAACACGUGAGUAACCUGCCCUUGACUUUGGGAUAACUUCAGGAAACUGGGGCUAAUACCGGAUAGGAGCUCCUGCUGCAUGGUGGGGGCUGGAAAGUUUCGGCGGUUGGGGAUGGACUCGCGGCUUAUCAGCUUGUUGGUGGGGUAGUGGCUUACCAAGGCUUUGACGGGUAGCCGGCCUGAGAGGGUGACCGGCCACAUUGGGACUGAAAUACGGCCCAGACUCCACCGGGAGGCAGCAGAGGAGAGUGUUGCACAAUGGGCGGAGGCCUGAUGCAGCAACGCCGCGUGCGGGAAGAGGGCCUUCGGGUAGUAAACCACUUUCGCCUGUGACGAAGCGUGAGUGACGGUAAUGGGUAAAGAAGCACCGGCUAACUACGUG